UACGUAGGGUGCGAGCGUUAAUCGGAAUUACUGGGCGUAAAGCGUGCGCAGGCGGUUUUGUAAGCCAGAUGUGAAAUUCCCGGGCUUAACCUGGGGGCUGCAUUUGAUACGUCUAGGCUUGAGUGAGGAAGAGGGUUGUGGAAUUCCCAGUGUAGAGGUGAAAUUCGUAGAUAUUGGGAAGAACACCGGUGGCGAAGGCGGCAACCUGGUCCUUUACUGACGCUGAGGCGCGAAAGCGUGGGGAGCAAACAGG
rnacentral:rRNA from 1 species